rnacentral:rRNA from 1 species
UGCCAGCCGCCGCGGUAAUACAGAGGGUGCAAACGUUGCUCGGAAUCACUGGGCGUAAAGCGCGUGUAGGCGGGAAAUCAAGUCGGAUGUGAAAUCCCUGGGCUCAACCUAGGAACUGCACCCGAAACUGAUUACCUAGAGUGUUGGAGAGGGAAGCGGAAUUCCUGGUGUAGAGGUGUAAUUCGUAGAUAUCAGGAGGAACACCGGUGGCGAAGGCGGCUUCCUGGACAACUACUGACGCUGAGACGCGCAAGCGUGGGGAGCAAACAGGAUUAGAUA